rnacentral:lncRNA from 1 species
GUGAGGAUGGAGGGGGAAAAAGAAAGAGGAGAACAGAAGGGAUGAAUUCUUAAGUGGUGUGAUUGAAUUACCUCCAAAGGAUCUCCAAAGAUGAUUGUGGGAGAAAGAGAAGGAAUUUUCUAUUGAAAAGUGCUGUGCACAGAGGCUGAGAAGGAUUUGCCAGAAAAGGUGGUUGCUGUCACCGCCAUCCUCCUCUUCCGCAUCACCAUCCUUUUCCCUCGCGUUGUUGCAUUAUUUCAUAAGCAGUAAAUACCCUUCACAAGGAUCCCUCCGUGCAGU